CAAUUGGCCCUCAUCGCAUUGGACUUCAAGGAAAAUUAAUGAAUUUAUAAAAUUCAAGAAAACGCCAGAAUCUGAUUGGAAUCUUCAUAAAGUUGACAUUUUAGGUAGCUAUGAAGAUCUAUCUGUUGCUCAACGGAAAGCAAAUAAGGCUAAAUAUACGUCUGAUCUUUCGUCGCAAAAUGAUAAAUGUAGGAAACAACAUAGUAAACCAAAAGGGAAAAGAAACAAAUCGACGAAGUAUUUGUCUGACAAUGACUCUUCUGAUUUGUCACAGUAUGAAUCAGAUAUUAAUAGUUAUCCUCCCACAAGCCCUCUUAUAUCAAGUGAUGGAAACUUAGUUCAAAAUAUACCAACCGAGGUUGUAACUAAAUCGACCGAAUGUAACAUUCCUCGAAAUUUUGAUGCUGAUUUCCAGAAGCAAGUAUUAAAAGAACUAAAUGCUAUACACUUG